rnacentral:lncRNA from 1 species
ACGACCCAGCCGCGGCGGCGCCACCGGGCACGGGCGGCAGCAGCAACCACCUCCUCGAGAACGGGUCGAGCGCCUGGCACUGGAGCCGCCGGGAGGCCGGGUCGAACGCAAACGCAAACAGGAACGGCAGCGACAGCGACACCGACGCCGCGGCCGCGGACGGGAACUUGGCCGGGGAGACGGUGAGGAAGCGGUUCCAGGUGGAGGAGACGGUGCGGAAGAGGCGGUGGUAGAGGAACGGCAGGUGGAGGAGGCACUUCUCGGCGACCUCCUCGGGGAGGCCGGGGAUGAGCUCCAUGACCUCCUCGCCGCCGCCGCCGCCGACCUCGUCGCCGGCGACUUCGAGCACCUGCUGCUUGCUCAUCGACGACGAGAAGCU